GGAGGAAAAGAAACUAACAAGGAUUCCCCUAGUAACGGCGAGUGAACCGGGAUGAGCUCAAAUUUGAAAUCUGGCGUCCUCAGGGCGUCCGAGUUGUAAUCUAUAGAGGCGUUUUCCGUGCCGGACCGUGUCCAAGUCCCUUGGAACAGGGUAUCAAAGAGGGUGACAAUCCCGUACUUGACACGACGACCGGUGCUCUGUGAUACGUCUUCUACGAGUCGAGUUGUUUGGGAAUGCAGCUCAAAAUGGGUGGUGAGUUCCAUCUAAAGCUAAAUAUUGGCGAGAGACCGAUAGCGAACAAGUACCGUGAGGGAAAGAUGAAAAGCACUUUGGAAAGAGAGUUAAACAGUACGUGAAAUUGUUGAAAGGGAAACGAUUGAAGUCAGUCGUGACUGUUGGGCUCAGCAGGUUCUGCCUGUGUAUUCCCUUCAGUCGGGUCAACAUCAGUUUUGACCGGUGGAUAAGGGCAGCAGGAAUGUGGCACCCUCGGGUGUGUUAUAGCCUGUCGUCGCAUACAUCGGUUGAGACUGAGGAACGCAGCUCGCCUUUAUGGCCGGGGUUCGCCCACGUCCGAGCUUAGGAUGUUGACAUAAUGGCUUUAAACGACCCGUCUU
rnacentral:rRNA from 1 species